AGCUACAGGCUUAACACAUGCAAGUCGAGGGGCAGCAUAUUGGUAGCUUGCUACUAAUGAUGGCGACCGGCGCACGGGUGAGUAACGCGUAUCCAACCUUCCCUAUACUAGAGGAUAGCCCGGCGAAAGUCGGAUUAAUACUCUAUGUUCUUCGUAGAUGACAUCUGAAAUGAAGCAAAGAUUUAUCGGUAUAGGAUGGGGAUGCGUCUGAUUAGCUUGUUGGCGGGGUAACGGCCCACCAAGGCAACGAUCAGUAGGGGUUCUGAGAGGAAGGUCCCCCACAUUGGUACUGAGACACGGACCAAACUCCUACGGGAGGCAGCAGUGAGGAAUAUUGGUCAAUGGGCGAGAGCCUGAACCAGCCAAGUAGCGUGCAGGAUGACGGCCCUAUGGGUUGUAAACUGCUUUUGUACGGGAAUAAAGUGUGGGACGUGUCCCGUUUUGUAUGUACCGUAAGAAUAAGGACCGGCUAAUUCCGUGCCAGC
rnacentral:rRNA from 1 species